rnacentral:sRNA from 1 species
UAAUGCCCUGGCCAUCAUCGUUUUCGA